GACGUAGGACGCGAGCGCUAUCCGGAUUCACUGGGCGUAAAGCGCCUGUAGGCGGCUUUGUAAGUUGGGCGCGAAAGCCCCGUGCUUAACGCGGGGAGGCCGUUCAAUACUGCGGAGCCAGAGUUCGGCAGAGGGGAGUGGGAUUCCCUGGAGUAGCGGUAAAAUGCGCAGAUAUCAGGAGGAACACCAGUGGCGAAGGCGGCUCCCUGGGCCGAGACUGACGCUCAGAGGCGAAAGCUAGGGGAGCGAACAGGAUUAGAGACCCUGGUAGUCCUAGCCCUAAACGAUGGAUGCUAGGUGUGGGGGCGAUGAGUUUCCGUGCCGGAGCAAACGCGAUAAGCAUCCCGCCUGGGGACUACGGCCGCAAGGUUAAAACUCAAACGAAUUGACGGGGGCCCGCACAAGCAGCGGAGCGUGUGGUUUAAUUCGAUGCUACACGAAGAACCUUACCUGGGUUUGACAUGUAGGUGGUAGCGAGGCGAAAGCUGAGCGACCCUUCGGGGAGCCUACACAGGUGCUGCAUGGCUGUCGUCAGCUCGUGCCGUGAGGUGUCGGGUUAAGUCCCGUAACGAGCGCAACCCUUGCUCCUAGUUAUACGUGUCUAGGGGGACUGCCGGCGGGAAGCCGGAGGAAGGUGGGGAUGACGUCAAGUCAGCAUGGCCCUUAUGUCCAGGGCUACACACACGCUACAAUGGCCAGUACAAAGGGUAGCGAAGCCGCGAGGUGGAGCGAAUCUCAGCAAAGCUGGUCGUAGUUCGGAUUGCAGGCUGCAACCCGCCUGCAUGAAGCUGGAGUUGCUAGUAACCGCGCGUCAGCUAUAGUGCGGUGAAUAC
rnacentral:rRNA from 1 species